GAUGAACGCUGGCGGCGUGCCUAAUACAUGCAAGUCGAGCGAACAGACGAGGAGCUUGCUCCUCUGACGUUAGCGGCGGACGGGUGAGUAACACGUGGAUAACCUACCUAUAAGACUGGGAUAACUUCGGGAAACCGGAGCUAAUACCGGAUAAUAUAUUGAACCGCAUGGUUCAAUAGUGAAAGACGGUUUUGCUGUCACUUAUAGAUGGAUCCGCGCCGCAUUAGCUAGUUGGUAAGGUAACGGCUUACCAAGGCAACGAUGCGUAGCCGACCUGAGAGGGUGAUCGGCCACACGGGAACUGAGACACGGUCCAGACUCCUACGGGGGGCAGCAGUAGGGAAUCUUCCGCAAUGGGCGAAAGCCUGACGGAGCAACGCCGCGGGAGUGAUGAAGGUCUUCGGAUCGUAAAACUCUGUUAUUAGGGAAGAACAAAUGUGUAAGUAACUAUGCACGUCUUGACGGUACCUAAUCAGAAAGCCACGGCGAACUACGU
rnacentral:rRNA from 1 species